UACGUAGGGUGCGAGCGUUGUCCGGAAUUAUUGGGCGUAAAGAGCUCGUAGGCGGUCCGUCGCGUCGGGAGUGAAAACUCGGGGCUCAACCCCGAGCCUGCUUUCGAUACGGGCGGACUAGAGGUAGGUAGGGGAGAACGGAAUUCCUGGUGUAGCGGUGGAAUGCGCAGAUAUCAGGAGGAACACCGGUGGCGAAGGCGGUUCUCUGGGCCUUACCUGACGCUGAGGAGCGAAAGCGUGGGGAGCGAACAGG
rnacentral:rRNA from 1 species